GAGGAGUGUUGCACACUCACGGCAAAACUGUCACAUUUAAGCAAGCGGACGCGCCUGCACCAGCUCGACGACGUGCGUCUGGCUGUGGGGGCUUCUUCAUUUGCAUAUCUUUUUCACCGUGCAUGAGCGUGAAUUUGUGCUUUCAUCGUUUCUUCCUUGUAUUGUUUCUGCCUAGCUUCAUGCCUUUCGCUGUGCCCCUUGCCGCCGCUUUCGUUGACCGCUGCAUCUUCGAUGUACGUGUCACCGGGGUGGUGGGUGGGGCGUGUGAAUAUGUACAAUCACCGUCGCCUUAUCAUCGCCCACGCCAUUACGCCCGUGUUUGCCGUGAGUCGCGAGAGGAGGAAAAAGUCUCACACGUGCACAGGAGGGCGCAUGCUCGGUGUGGUGCUUCCAGCUUUGUUUCCUUUUCUCCAUCACAGCCUUUAUGCCGAGUCAUGCCACACCAUGCAUGCUUCACUGACCCGAGCGAGCAGAGGCGGCGAGGGGAGGUGGGGUGGGUAGACAACGAAGCGACUGAUGGCCGAAAAAGUGCGUGACGCUGCGCUUGUGCCUCUGGAAGGCUGCGCUAGUGCGUGCGCAUGCGUGUCUCUCACAGAUAACUCUGGAAGAAUGCUGCAUAACUGCACAGAACGGCCUUAGGCGUUGCAGUGCCGGCUUCAUGCGCCGCCUCCCUCGAUAUGCGCCGUGCGCUUCUGCGCGGACGUUGCUCUCCUCGCUCUUCGGCAGGGACAAGGAGCUUGGUUCUGCUGUCGACGUCACGGCCUCUCCACGAUGGCUCCCUCUCUUCCACGCUCAUUUUCCGUAUCUUGCCUUCGUGUGCAAACGGCGAGUGCGAAUUGGACUGAAGAAGGCGGCGGCGCACGUCCGUCUGGGGAGGAGGCGGGGGGAUCCGAAUGCAGCUCGAGAGCCCCCGAAACGGAAAGUCACCGAAAACUGCGCACCAGCGCGUACACACAUGGCAAGGCGAAAGAAAAACAAAAGGGAAGCCAGCCAUGGCAGAGACCAUAAGAAAGUGAAUCACCUCACGCUCAGGAGCGAACAGGCAGAGCUGACAACUCUCUCACGUGUCGUUUCUGUUCUCGUGUGCCGCGGAACGGGGAGAGGAGAAAGUUUUCGGGGACGGUGUCACGCAGUGUUGCUGCUCUUCCUACGAGAAAGGCCAGCCUUCUCUCCAUUUCGCUCUCGUCCUCUCUUUACACGGACCCCCCUCCUUGUAGAGGCACCGCUGUAAGCUUUUUCUUUCGUUUGGCUGGUGCCAGACACGCAUGCCUGUAAACCCUCCACGCUCACAUACGUGCGCACUGGCGCACGCUCAUUAUCCCUCUUUGCUCUCCUUGCUUUUGCUCUGCCACCUCCACAGCU
rnacentral:misc_RNA from 1 species